rnacentral:lncRNA from 1 species
CCUUCACCUCCGCACUGGCCACGUCUCCUGGGUUGAGGCUGGAGCAGGUAGUGCCUCUCCGCACCUGUGACGAGCUGGCAUCAGCCCUGCGGGCCCAGCCUGGCAUCCCUCUGCCCAGCACUGGCCCUGGCUCGCUCAUGUGUGGCUGCAGGAGACAGACACACACUUCGUCUGCUCCCGACAUUCACUCCACAAACAGCCUGCUUUCCUCUUCCUUCAAACGCUGCCGCUUUCUUAAAAGUUCCGAUACCCAAGCAAGUGAGGCCUCCGAUAAACCCCUGCAGCACAGUGGGGUGGAUCCCUUGAUGCCCUGGAUGAGUCCUGCCCAGUGUGGGAAGGUCCCCAGGAGAGGCCAUGGGCAGGCGCCCUGCUGGAUCUGGUACUUAGCAUAAGGCCUGGUAGGUAGCAGUCACCUCCCCACCCACCCACCCGCCCAGCAGUCACCUGCUCUUCUGUUACCCACCCAUCAUCCUCCCUAACGUCUGUCUACUCUUCACCCUCCCAUCGCACUGUGCUCACCCGCUCACCCACUCAGCCCGCUGCCACCCCUCUACUCCACCCCCGCUCCACCGUCCUGCUCCUGCAGCCACUCAUCACCCACCCCCCACCCAUCAGCAGGACUGGGGUU